AUGAGGAAGGGCGUAGCAAGCGGCGAAAUGCUUAGGGGAGUCAAAAAUAAGCAUAGAUCCGGAGAUUCCCAAAUAGGUCAACCUUUUGAACUGCCUGCUGAAUCCAUGAGCAGGAAAGAGACAACCUAGGGAACUGAAACAUCUUAGUAGCCAGAGGAAAAGAAAGGAUAAUG
rnacentral:ncRNA from 1 species